CACGUAGGGCGCGAGCGUUGUCCGGAAUUAUUGGGCGUAAAGAGCUCGUAGGCGGCCUGUUGCGUCCGCUGUGAAAGCCCGGGGCUUAACCCCGGGUCGGCAGUGGAUACGGGCAGGCUAGAGGUAGGUAGGGGAGAAUGGAAUUCCCGGUGUAGCGGUGAAAUGCGCAGAUAUCGGGAGGAACACCGGUGGCGAAGGCGGGUCUCUGGGCCGAAAUUGACGCUGAGGAGCGAAAGCGUGGGGAGCAAACAGG
rnacentral:rRNA from 1 species